AUGACAGCACAACAAAUGAAAGACCCAGAUUUUUUUUAUAGAUACACCACAGACAAUGAUGGGCAUCUGCAGAACAUAUUUUGGGCAGACGCCCAAUCUCGCUUGGACUAUGUUGCAUUUGGUGGUGUGGUGGUGUUUGACAGCACAUACCGGUCAAACAAAUAUAGGUCACCGUUUGUUCCAUUUGUGGGGCUGAAUCAUCACCGCAACACAGUCGUGUUUGGGGUUGGUCUUGUAUCCGGCGAAUCGGCUGACUCAUAUGAGUGGCUGCUUCAGGUUUUUUUGGAGGCAAUGCACCAGAAGCAUCCCAUUUCAGCGAUCAAAGACGGUGACGCUUCAAUGGCCAAAGCC
rnacentral:rRNA from 1 species